ACCUACUGCCCUAAAUAUCCUAAUACAGCAGAACCCCUUUGAUCUUGGAAGCUAAACAGGGUCAACUCUGGUUAGUUCUUGGAUGGGAGACCACCUAGUGAAUACCAUGUGCAAUAUUUC
rnacentral:rRNA from 11 species